rnacentral:rRNA from 1 species
UGAACGCUGGCGGCGCGCCUAACACAUGCAAGUCGAACGAUUAAAAGCACCUUUACGGUGUGUAUAAAAGUGGCGAAACGGCUGAGUAACACGUGGGCAACCUGCCUUUGCACUGGGAUAGCCUCGGGAAACCGAGGUUAAUACCGGAUACUCCAUAUAUAUCGCAUGAUGUAUAUGGGAAAAGCUCCGACGGCAAAGGAUGGGCCCGCGGCCUGUUAGCUAGUUGGUGGGGUAACGGCCUACCCAAGGCAAUGAUGGGUAGCCGGGUUGAGAGACCGACCGGCCAGAUUGGGACUGAGACACGGCCCAGACUCCUACGGGAGGCAGCAGUGGGGAAUCUUGCACAAUGGGCGAAAGCCUGAUGCAGCGACGCCGCGUGCGGGAUGAAGGCCUUCGGGUCGUAAACCGCUUUCAGCAGGGACGAGGCCGCAAGGUGACGGUACCUGCAGAAGAAGCCCCGGCUAACUACGUGCCAGCAGCCGCGGUAAU